rnacentral:ncRNA from 2 species
AAAAAAAAAAAAAAAAAAAAAAAAAAAAAAAAAAAAA